rnacentral:rRNA from 1 species
AGAGUUUGAUCCUGGCUCAGAUUGAACGCUGGCGGCAUGCCUUACACAUGCAAGUCGAACGGCAGCACGGGAGCAAUCCUGGUGGCGAGUGGCGAACGGGUGAGUAAUAUAUCGGAACGUGCCCAGUCGUGGGGGAUAACGCAGCGAAAGCUGUGCUAAUACCGCAUACGAUCUCUGGAUGAAAGCGGGGGACCUGCAAGGGCCUCGCGCGAUUGGAGCGGCCGAUAUCAGAUUAGCUAGUUGGUGGGGUAAAAGCUCACCAAGGCGACGAUCUGUAGCUGGUCUGAGAGGACGACCAGCCACACUGGAACUGAGACACGGUCCAGACUCCUACGGGAGGCAGCAGUGGGGAAUUUUGGACAAUGGGCGCAAGCCUGAUCCAGCAAUGCCGCGUGCAGGAUGAAGGCCUUCGGGUUGUAAACUGCUUUUGUACGGAACGAAAAGGCUCUUUUUAAUAAAGAGGGCUCAUGACGGUACCGUAAGAAUAAGCACCGGCUAACUACGUGCCAGCAGCCGCGGUAAUACGUAGGGUGCGAGCGUUAAUCGGAAUUACUGGGCGUAAAGCGUGCGCAGGCGGUUUUGUAAGACAGAUGUGAAAUCCCCGGGCUCAACCUGGGACCUGCAUUUGUGACUGCAAGGCUAGAGUACGGUAGAGGGGGAUGGAAUUCCGCGUGUAGCAGUGAAAUGCGUAGAUAUGCGGAGGAACACCGAUGGCGAAGGCAAUCCCCUGGACCUGUACUGACGCUCAUGCACGAAAGCGUGGGGAGCAAACAGGAUUAGAUACCCUGGUAGUCCACGCCCUAAACGAUGUCAACUGGUUGUUGGGUCUUUACUGACUCAGUAACGAA